GUUCCCAUGGCGGUUGCAGGUCGACUGCUGGCUUGUCAUUUACGAGCGUUUUCCGUCUCUCACCUUCUGGUUGUUUCUAUUGUUUUGGUUGGCGGGGCUUGCGGCCCUCUUGGGAUGGGCUUUGCAGUUUUAGCAUUGUUCCGAUCAGCCCGCGGAUCUGCAUUAUAUGCCUCUGUUGCUGGCGCAGUGCUGAGAUUCGCCUUCUCUGUGUCCCGCUUGUGAGCCUUGGGCCUCUGUCUGAGGAUUCUUGUCAUACCCUAUGUGUGCUGCUGUUUGUCAGGUGUUCUGAUGUUCAAGCAGUAUUUUGUAGACGCCAAGUUUCUCUAAAUCCUCUCUUCUAUCCUUUUCAUUCCUUAAGCUGUUGAAGAUAUUUGGUGUCCUCCUGUGAGCCUUGCUAUCUCUUUCAUGCAUCUUAGGUUGCUAAGUGGAUAUGGUAC
rnacentral:lncRNA from 1 species